rnacentral:snRNA from 10 species
GCGCUCACUUCGGCAGCACAUAUACUAAAAUUGGAACGAUACAGAGAUUAGCAUGGCCCCUGCACAAGGAUGACAUGCAAAUUCGUGAAGCAUUCCAUAUUUUU